UCUCUUCGGAGAGAGCGGCGGACGGGUGAGUAACGCGUGGGUAACCUGCCCUGUACACACGGAUAACAUACCGAAAGGUAUACUAAUACGGGAUAACAUACGAAAGUCACAUGGCUUUUGUAUCAAAGCUCCGGCGGUACAGGAUGGACCCGCGUCUGAUUAGCUAGUUGGUAAGGUAAUGGCUUACCAAGGCAACGAUCAGUAGCCGACCUGAGAGGGUGAUCGGCCACACUGGAACUGAGACACGGUCCAGACUCCUACGGGAGGCAGCAGUGGGGAAUAUUGCACAAUGGGCGAAAGCCUGAUGCAGCAACGCCGCGUGAGCGAUGAAGGCCUUCGGGUCGUAAAGCUCUGUCCUCAAGGAAGAUAAUGACGGUACUUGAGGAGGAAGCCCCGGCUAACUACGUGCCAGCAGCCGCGGUAAUACGUAGGGGGCUAGCGUUAUCCGGAAUUACUGGGCGUAAAGGGUGCGUAGGUGGUUUUUUAAGUCAGAAGUGAAAGGCUACGGCUCAACCGUAGUAAGCUUUUGAAACUAGAGAACUUGAGUGCAGGAGAGGAGAGUAGAAUUCCUAGUGUAGCGGUGAAAUGCGUAGAUAUUAGGAGGAAUACCAGUAGCGAAGGCGGCUCUCUGGACUGUAACUGACACUGAGGCACGAAAGCGUGGGGAGCAAACAGGAUUAGAUACCCUGGUAGUCCACGCCGUAAACGAUGAGUACUAGGUGUCGGGGGUUACCCCCCUCGGUGCCGCAGCUAACGCAU
rnacentral:rRNA from 1 species